GUGUUUGUUUCUGCAGCACACAUCCUAAAUUGGAACAAUACAGGGAAGAUUAGCACGGCUCCUGUGCAAGAAUGACAUGCAUAUUCAUAAAACAUUCUACCUUAAA